rnacentral:rRNA from 1 species
GAGGGGAAACACCCGUUUCCAUCCCGAACACGCCGGUUAAGCCCUCAACCGCCGAUGGUA